rnacentral:lncRNA from 1 species
CUCUGCUGCCCGAAACAAGCGCGUGGAAAGCUUGGUCGGGGCUUCUCACAGCCGCGCGCACAGACUGGUUCUCCCCCCGCGUCUCCCGGGAGCGUCGCCGCCACCUGCACGCGUCCGGCACACAAACGUCGGUCUCACCCCUUAGUUUCUGGAAGAGAAAAAGGAAAAGCCACCGAGAGGCCUGACCCUGAGGGGUCGGGGGGAGAUGCGGGCGCGUAGUAGAGGGAAGCGACUGAGGAGCGGGGACUGGGCAGCAUUUGAAUGGAUGCGGGUGCCGCUGGCACCCGGGAAGACGCCUGGGAGCCGGCGCUGGGGAGCCGGGCAUGGGCUGGGAUGUGUUUGGAUUCCAAUCUGGGCCUGACACCAGUUCAGUGACCUCGGGAAGUUCCCCAACCCUGCGGGCCUGUUUCCUCCCUCUGAAGUGGCGACAGUAAUAGAACCGACCUCGUAGGCUCAUCGGGAGGUCCUGAUGGGAGAACCCAUGCAACUUGCCACCACAGAGCCAGGCCCGCGGCGACUGGCUCCUGGUGGGUAUUAAAGACGAGUCGGGAAAGAAGAGCAGGCUCAAUCAAACCUUCAAUGGCCCCGAAAGACAUCUUGAUUGAAACCUCAUGAGAGACUCUGAGCCAGAAAACCCAGCAACUUAGAACCCAGAUACCUGACCAUCAGCCACUGUGUGAAAUAAUAAAUGUUUGUUGUU